AACGUUUUUGUGUGCAUUAUUUUACCACUCUUGUUUUGUGCGAUGGAAGUUGAUGCUGGUCAUGCCUGUCUACUUGUUCUGUGGAAAACCCGUCGACCUCCCUAACAACAGGUGGACAACUCGUCCGUUCGAUGGACAACUCGACCGUUCGGAAAACUCGACAAUUCUGAAACAACUCAACUUGACAGAUGGCCAGACGUGAGUUGAAAUAUGCCGCCAAAUUAGUGCCACUUGCCGAUGUGCAACUCCCGGGUGCGGUCAUCUUGAAAUGACGUCAGGAGAUAUGUUCACGCCUAUAUCUCAGGAGAUUAAACCGGGUUUGGAAAGAUGAUGUCAUCGUUUUGUAGAAAAACACAGGCACUUCAUUUUGACAUUCGACACAAUGAAGUCUGUCAAAUGAUAGUCUCAACAUGCAGGAAACUUUGAAGUAAACAUAUUCAAAAAUUAGAAGCGUAUUUGUUACAGUAUACAAUUGUUGUAUGCUGUGACAGGAUCCAUGGUGUUUUGUACACCCGAGGGGACAAAUGGUACCUUCGACCUCACCUCGGGUGCCAUUUGGCCCCUCAGGUGUACAAAACCCAUGGAUCCCAUCAAAGCGUGCAACAAUUGCUUUGUUAAACCAUGGUAAGCGUUAUUAUUCCUCUGAUCAAAGUCCUGUUGUCAGCUUCAAACAUUACUACGAUGGAGUAGGCAGAGGAACAGUUAUUCAAAUAAAAAACAAUUAUUUACUGUACCCUCAAACUUGGGGCUAUUUCUAAUGAAGCGCGGAAAUCGACCACGGUGGGAAUGAUCAAGGUAAUGUACACAGUUUAACAAAACUCUUGUUUCCCUCCGCGCUUUGUGUAACGUGUAGUGUGUGACCUCAGCCUUGUUACAUUUGUAUGACGUGAUUGGUUCUUGACCAAUAAACCUUCACGACUCCUUUUGUUUUUAACUCAGUUACAAAUUGUAAUGAUAAAUGAUAAUGAUGUUAUAAAAAAAAGUAUGUAGCAUAGCUGAGGAUACGCGAAGCAUAAGACACAGCAAGGAGGGUACAAUACUCAGUCGAAAUAAUAAUUGAAAAUGACAACAGAACUUCGAGAAAAGGAAUAAUAAUGUACAAAACACAAUGGGUCCCGUGACAGCGUGCAACAAUUGUAUAGUGAUACAUCUUUCUUCUAGUUAUGAAGGUCUGGCAUGAACAUUGUGCAUUUUAAACUUCAAAAAUGAUGCUGCACCACUCUUUUUGUGUGUGCAUAUUCUACUACAAUGAUGCAUUACGGACAGCAGUGACGGACCAAUCAGAAACUUAUUUAAUAGUUGUUUGCAUCGGGGAUAAAGAAUAUAAUUUCUUUUUACCCUUGCAGGGAUGUGUUUUAAGCACUGUAUACUCGGUAAAAUCGAGCUAGCCUGGUGGCCAGAGACAGCUUGAAUCCUAUUUUUUAGCAACAGGGGUACUGCAACAUCUUGUAAAUUGUUGCAGUACCUGCUUUUAAAACAUAGGGUUCAAACUGCCUCUAGCCACUGCUGGGGGGCUAGCUUGGUGGUCUAGUGGUCAGACAUCUACUCUAGCAAUGCAAAGGUCCUCGAUAUGAAUCCCACCCAAGUAUUUUGCCUGAGGAUUUGUUUGUCACUGAACUAGGGAAAGUACUGAGUAAUUAUAUACAGUUCUUUAUACACAUCGGUGUAAGGGUAAAAACGAAUAAUUGUCAAUAACAAACUGUUUAGACAUAUAACCAUCUUGAAUCAAUUGAUAAUCUUGGAAGCAAGUUAGUAUUAGCAUGCCCAGACAAACAAAAACACAAGUGGACUCACAUACGCAUUAAUAACAUUGACAAAAUAAUAUAAGAGAAAAACCACCUAAACGAGACAAUGCUGUUACUAUGUCAGGAAGGUUUAUCUUUUUACUUACCAGUACUUUUUUAACAUAAUCUUGUCUGCUUAUAAGACAAGGAUUGAAACACUUAAAAUACAUUGUCUUUGAUGAGGAGAGACUCCGUAAAUUUUGAAGCAGUAUGUCCAAAUUGAUACGAAAUUCUUCUUCCCCUCCUACAAAUUGCAAAUUGUUUUUCAUAAAUGUUUUGUUAAGAGAGGUUUAGAUAAAACCAUGUGAAAAUCUAUUUUGAGUAGUGUUGGUUCUGAAACUCAAUGUUCUGAUCAGUAUGCUCUGAUUGUCUUCAGGAGAAUACUAUAGACUAUGUUGCUGGUUACCCAGUAGCUUUGUAGUAAUACAUGGUAUUACUGCAAGUCUCUCUGAGUUAUUCUUUGACAAUGCAAUGUUCCAAAGGUAUUGAGGUUUAAUAUUGUUACCCUGCAAACAGAUUGUUGUUUCAGUGUAUGAGUGUUCAGUAGAUUGAAAUAAAUAAACAUUAAGAUUUGGGCAUAUAAAUGUUAGCAUGUAAAAUUGUUUUAUUAAUGUAUUGACUAAUUGGUUAGUGAUCAAUAAAUCUGAAC